rnacentral:rRNA from 1 species
AACGAACGCUGGCGGCAUGCCUAACACAUGCAAGUCGAACGAGACCUUCGGGUCUAGUGGCGCACGGGUGCGUAACGCGUGGGAACCUGCCCUUAGGUUCGGAAUAACUCCCCGAAAGGGGUGCUAAUACCGGAUAAUGUCUUCGGACCAAAGAUUUAUCGCCUUUGGAUGGGCCCGCGUUGGAUUAGCUAGUUGGUAGGGUAAAAGCCUACCAAGGCGACGAUCCAUAGCUGGUCGGAGAGGAUGAUCAGCCACACUGGGACUGAGACACGGCCCAGACUCCUACGGGAGGCAGCAGUAGGGAAUAUUGGACAAUGGGCGAAAGCCUGAUCCAGCAAUGCCGCGGGAGUGAUGAAGGCCUUAGGGUUGUAAAGCUCUUUUACCCGGGAUGAUAAUGACAGUACCGGGAGAAUAAGCUCCGGCUAACUCCGUG